rnacentral:rRNA from 1 species
CGGCCCUCGGGCCGGGAUGUUCACAACCCUUUGUUGUCCGACUCUGUUGCCUCCGGGGCGACCCUGCCUCCGGGCGGGGGCCCCGGGUGGACAUCUCAAACUCUUGCGUAACUUUGCAGUCUGAGUAAAUUUAAUUAAUAAAUUAAAACUUUCAACAACGGAUCUCUUGGUUCUGGCAUCGAUGAAGAACGCAGCGAAAUGCGAUAAGUAAUGUGAAUUGCAGAAUUCAGUGAAUCAUCGAAUCUUUGAACGCACAUUGCGCCCCCUGGUAUUCCGGGGGGCAUGCCUGUUCGAGCGUCAUUUCACCACUCAAGCCUCGCUUGGUAUUGGGCGACGCGGUCCGCCGCGCGCCUCAAAUCGACCGGCUGGGUCUUUCGUCCCCUCAGCGUUGUGGAAACUAUUCGCUAAAGGGUGCCGCGGGAGGCCACGCCGUAAAACAACCCCAUUUCUAAGGUUGACCUCGGAUCAGGUAGGGAUACCCGCUGAACUUAAGCAUAUCAAUAAGCGGGGGAAAA